rnacentral:rRNA from 1 species
CGAAAUUCUGACGGAGCAACGCCGCGUGAGUGAUGAAGGUUUUCGGAUCGUAAAGCUCUGUUGUUAGGGAAGAACAAGUGCGAGAGUAACUGCUCGCACCUUGACGGUACCUAACCAGAAAGCCACGGCUAACUACGUGCCAGCAGCCGCGGUAAUACGUAGGUGGCAAGCGUUGUCCGGAAUUAUUGGGCGUAAAGGGCUCGCAGGCGGUUUCUUAAGUCUGAUGUGAAAGCCCCCGGCUCAACCGGGGAGGGUCAUUGGAAACUGGGAAACUUGAGUGCAGAAGAGGAGAGUGGAAUUCCACGUGUAGCGGUGAAAUGCGUAGAGAUGUGGAGGAACACCAGUGGCGAAGGCGACUCUCUGGUCUGUAACUGACGCUGAGGAGCGAAAGCGUGGGGAGCGAACAGGAUUAGAUACCCUGGUAGUCCACGCCGUAAACGAUGAGUGCUAAGUGUUAGGGGGUUUCCGCCCCUUAGUGCUGCAGCUAACGCAUUAAGCACUCCGCCUGGGGAGUACGGUCGCAAGACUGAAACUCAAAGGAAUUGACGGGGGCCCGCACAAGCGGUGGAGCAUGUGGUUUAAUUCGAAGCAACGCGAAGAACCUUACCAGGUCUUGACAUCCUCUGACAACCCUAGAGAUAGGGCUUUCCCUUCGGGGACAGAGUGACAGGUGGUGCAUGGUUGUCGUCAGCUCGUGUCGUGAGAUGUUGGGUUAAGUCCCGCAACGAGCGCAACCCUUGAUCUUAGUUGCCAGCAUUCAGUUGGGCACUCUAAGGUGACUGCCGGUGACAAACCGGAGGAAGGUGGGGAUGACGUCAAAUCAUCAUGCCCCUUAUGACCUGGGCUACACACGUGCUACAAUGGACAGAACAAAGGGCUGCAAGACCGCAAGGUUUAGCCAAUCCCAUAAAUCUGUUCUCAGUUCGGAUCGCAGUCUGCAACUCGACUGCGUGAAGCUGGAAUCGCUAGUAAUCGCGGAUCAGCAUGCCGCGGUGAAUACGUUCCCGGGCCUUGUACACACCGCCCGUCACACCACGAGAGUUUGCAACACCCGAAGUCGGUGAGGUAACCUUUAUGGAGCCAGCCGCCGAAGGUGGCAGG